GUGCCUUUUACAAGUUAAUAUGCCACAAUGAUUGCAUGGACUGUUGAAUAUGUUAGGCUGUUGGGGUUAGUUUCAUAAUAGGGAAUGUAAAAGUUGACAUAUCUAUUUUACUUAGGUGGAAUGUACUUGAUUUUAUUGUUUGUGUUAUACCCACGCAAAGUUACGUUUAGCUAGUCUUAUUAUACAUGAAUUGAGCUUAUUUUGUAUGGUUUUCUCCAUAUCUACUGCUGUCAAACUUCAGUCUUAAAGUUGUGGCUGUGGCCCACACCAUCUCCACUUCCAGGGCAUUCCAAGCAUCAAUACUUUUGUAUGGGAAACUCUGCCUUUUGUCAAGUCCUUCCUAUCAACAUUUUCUAAACUAUUUACGGACUUCCAACCUAGUCUGUUCCAAUUCAUCCAAUCUCUCCAUUAAGAUAGUUACGUUAGACUAGACACAACUUAAGUUGCAGCUUUUUUAAUCCUUUCAUAACCUUAAGGAUAUCCUCAAGCAUAUAUGAUACAGCAAGGAAAGGAGAGAAGUUUAGUAGACUGUAGACAUACAGAGGAAAAAGUGAUUGGACAGUUAAGUGACAUGUUUAGUAUUUUGAUCAUGAUUUUUUCAAAAAGUUUGAUGCCAAAAUUUGGUCUUUGCUACCUCCUGCCCCCUUUUGAUGAACUCCUAUGUUGAUUGAAACUAUAUAAA